rnacentral:rRNA from 1 species
AAGCCUAGCGAUUGAAAAGUUAGUGGCGGACGGGUGAGUAACGCGUGGGUAACCUGCCUUGUACUGGGGGAUAGCAGCUGGAAACGGCUGGUAAUACCGCAUAAGCGCACAAUGUUGCAUGACAUGGUGUGAAAAACUCCGGUGGUAUAAGAUGGACCCGCGUCUGAUUAGCUAGUUGGUGAGAUAACAGCCCACCAAGGCGACGAUCAGUAGCCGACCUGAGAGGGUGACCGGCCACAUUGGGACUGAGACACGGCCCAGACUCC